AGCCUAACACAUGCAAGUCGAACGGCAGCACAGGAGAGCUUGCUCUCUGGGUGGCGAGUGGCGGACGGGUGAGGAAUACAUCGGAAUCUACUUUUUCGUGGGGGAUAACGUAGGGAAACUUACGCUAAUACCGCAUACGACCUACGGGUGAAAGCAGGGGAUCUUCGGACCUUGCGCGAUUGAAUGAGCCGAUGUCGGAUUAGCUAGUUGGCGGGGUAAAGGCCCACCAAGGCGACGAUCCGUAGCUGGUCUGAGAGGAUGAUCAGCCACACUGGAACUGAGACACGGUCCAGACUCCUACGGGAGGCAGCAGUGGGGAAUAUUGGACAAUGGGCGCAAGCCUGAUCCAGCCAUACCGCGUGGGUGAAGAAGGCCUUCGGGUUGUAAAGCCCUUUUGUUGGGAAAGAAAUCCAGCUGGCUAAUACCCGGUUGGGAUGACGGUACCCAAAGAAUAAGCACCGGCUAACUUCGUGCCAGCAGCCGCGGUAAAUACGAAGUGGUGCAAAGCGUUACUCGGAAUUACUUGGGCGUAAA
rnacentral:rRNA from 1 species